rnacentral:tRNA from 1 species
UACUAAAAGUUGUUUAUGCAUAAAAGAUUUUGAUUCUUUAGGUAAUAGUUAAAUUCUAUUUUUAGUAU